GACCUCGUAGCUCAGUUGGCAGAGCAUUGGACUAGUAACCCACAAGUCGUGGAUUCGAUUCCCAUGCACCGUGGUUA